ACCCCCAACAUGAUGAAGUAUUGCGGAUGUUAAACACAUAUUUCUCCGAGAGCGCAAAACCGUGUGGAGCUUUCCGUUGCCUUCCUUCUGACCCCUGUC
rnacentral:snoRNA from 1 species